GCCCUACAGGCGUGUGCCCCUGAAUAUUUCUUAUGUAUAUUUAAUAUAUCUUAUGUAUAUUUAUAAUAUAUAUUAUAUGAACAUUUCUUUCAGUAAUCAUGGGUAGUAAGUGAAUGUAUAGAAAUUUCCCUGGUUUCUAGCAGCUCUAUGUGCAUUUUUUUUUUCAAGUUCCUGUUUCUCUGAGGGCCUCAUCUAAACAUGACCAGAGUAGCUAAUCAGAACUGCAGGUACAACAGUAUUGACUCCCCCGAUGUCUUACCAAGUAUUGCUGGCAGGUUUCUUGGUAUUUCACUUCCCAGGACUUGUACUAGAAGAAAUGGAAGCACCCCUGUUGCAAUGCCAGGUAAGAGCUAUAUAGACUGUGUAUGUCUGCUCCUUCACAAAGUUUCCUCCCGGUGAAAGGAAACAUAGAAGCCAUAUUUUGGAAUGCAAUGAGAAACUGAAAUCAAAAGUCUGUGUGUAGAUUCCCCUGUUGGGUUAUAAUACCUGGACAUUUCUAUAAACAUUUUUACUGUUAAACACACACACACAGCACAGGUCAGAGUUCUUUGGUGACCCAACUGUGAAAUGUAGUUUUUAUGGGUAUUUUCACUGAUGAAUAAAAAAGAUCAACUAAAGGGAUUCUGUGUUAACUCAGGUGUGUAUGUAUUUCUUGACCUUUAAACCAGGGAACUUGAUUUUGAAAGAAAAACUGAAGAAUUUUAUCUCCAAAGGAGAUUCAUUGUCUAAAGGGGGCGGGGGGAACUAUACCGGCUGAUAUUAUCAAAUACUUUCUCUGGUCCAUUUCCCACAUAGCAACAAGAGGGAUCUCUUGGAACGUAAUUGGUUCACAUCACUCUUCUGCUUAAAAUUCCCAAAGGAUAGUGUUUACCAAAUGUUAACACAAUCAUUUCUUGGUGUCUGAAUGCUUAGGGAAGUGAAAAGAUUUUCAUCAUUAAAAGACUGGUCCCGCUGGGUGCCGUGGCCCAUGCCUGUGAUCCCAGUGGCUCAGGAGGAUGGGGAGUUCAAAGCCAGCCUCAGCAAUUUAGAGAAGCCCUAAGCAACUCAGGGAGACCCUGUCUCUAGUAAAAUACAAAAUAGGGCUGGGGAUGUGGCUUAGUGGUCGAGUGCCCCAGAGUUCAAUCCCCGGUACCCCCCCCCACACUCCCCAAAAAGAGAAAAGAUUAGUCCCUGCCUUGAGGAAAAGUGGGCAAGUAUGUAUAUUGGAAGCCUUCAAAUAAAAAUAGGAUUACCCCAUCCCUGCACUACCAUUCAUCUUGCCAACCCAGAGUGGGGCAUUUUUCAAGUUGGUGAGCAUUGAGUUAACUUAAAGCAUUUAGCCUUCUAGGAGAGAGAACAGGCUGUGAUACGCACAGAAGGGGCCGGUAGGGUGCCUCUUGGUAGUGAGCACCUUGUGCCCCAAGACUCCAUUGCAUUCUGUGCUGCACAUUUCCAAAUAUUAUUUCUAGCCUGAAAUCUCACUAGAUACCUAUCAGAGGCCAAAUUACUAAUCAAAUGCAAUUUUCAAUUUGAAGCCAAUGUUUAAAGUCAAAUUUGCCAUUUGUCCUCAAAAUUCAAGAUUCCUUUCUAAACUUAUUCAUCUUUGUCAAGAGAGAUUAUUCACUAAUUCUCCCAGACUGGAAACUAUAAAUCAAUGCACUUAUCUUUGAUGUAUUCCCCUUUUUAACCAAAUCCAUAUAACAUAAAAUUCAUGAUUUUACCAAUUUUAAAGUGUACAGUUUUGUAACUUUUAGUGUAUUUAUAAUGUUGUACAAACCAUCACCAUUCUCCAAUUCUAGGAUAUUUCCCCAUGCCUUAAAAGAAAACCCAUACUUCUCAAAUACCCGCAUCCUAGCACUACUAAUCUACAUUCUGUCUCUAUGAAUCUGGUCUUUGUGGGCAUCUCUAUAAAUGGAGUCAUAAAGUAUGUAAACUUUUAUAUCUGACAUCUUCAACUUAGCAUAAUAUUUACAAUCAUCAUUGUAGCAUGUAGCAGUGCUUCAUUCCUU
rnacentral:lncRNA from 1 species